AUCCUGGGUGCUCUGGGGUGGGGUGGCUGAGCUGUGGCAGCCCCUCCCAGCUGAGCAGCAAGGCCGGGGAAAGCUCAUUCCGUCCCCCUUGGUUCUAACCAGGUAGAGGCUUACACUGCGCGGUCACCAGCCAAUCUUUAGUUCUUUUAUGCAGAGUGCUUUCAUUCCGAGUGAAGUGCCCUUCUGUUUAAUGGUGACCUCCAGUUAUUACAGGGAUUGCAGCCGCAUUUGAUGGAUGUGAACCUGCUCAUCUCUGGCUCCCCAGCUUCGCCUCUGGGGUGGGCGGCAGGAGCUCCACAGCCAUCCUGGGUGCUCUGAGGUGGGGAGUCCCUAGUGGGAGUGGACGGUGCAUGGCCGGGACGUUCCUGUCCGAUGUUCCACACUGGCGUGCGCGCGUCUCUGGCCUGUUUCGUUCGUCCGUGGGUCUGUGGCGUUUUCUCCGUGCGUGCCUCUGUGGCGCGUUUCCUCCAUCUGUGCGUCUGUGGUGUUUCUUCCGUCCCUGCGUCGGUGGUGUUUCUUUCAUCCGUGUGUCUGUGGUGUUUCCUCUGUCCAUGCGUCUGUGGCCUGUUUCCUCCGUCCAUGUGUCUAUGACGCUUCCUCCCUCCGUGCGUCUGUGGCCUGUUUCCUCCGUCCGUGCGUCUGUGGCCUGUUUCCUCCGUCCGUGCGUCUGUGGCCUGUUUCCG
rnacentral:lncRNA from 1 species